GACGAACGCUGGCGGCGUGCCUAAUACAUGCAAGUUGAGCGAUGAAGAUUGGUGCUUGCACCAAUUUGAAGAGCAGCGAACGGGUGAGUAACGCGUGGGGAAUCUGCCUUUGAGCGGGGGACAACAUUUGGAAACGGAUGCUAAUACCGCAUAACAACUUUAAACAUAAGUUUUAAGUUUGAAAGAUGCAAUUGCAUCACUCAAAGAUGAUCCCGCGUUGUAUUAGCUAGUUGGUGAGGUAAAGGCUCACCAAGGCGAUGAUACAUAGCCGACCUGAGAGGGUGAUCGACCACAUUGGGACUGAGACACGGCCCAAACUCCUACGGGAGGCAGCAGUAGGGAAUCUUCGGCAAUGGACGAAAGUCUGACCGAGCAACGCCGCGUGAGUGAAGAAGGUUUUCGGAUCGUAAAACUCUGUUGGUAGAGAAGAACGUUGGUGAGAGUGGAAAGCUCAUCAAGUGACGGUAACUACCCAGAAAGGGACGGCUAACUACGUG
rnacentral:rRNA from 1 species